rnacentral:rRNA from 1 species
UACGUAGGGUGCGAGCGUUAAUCGGAAUUACUGGGCGUAAAGUGUGCGCUAGGCGGCCAUGCAAGUCGAAGUGUGAAAGCCCCGAGCUUAACUUGGGAAUUGCGCUCGAAACUACGUGGCUGGAGUGUGGCAGAGGAAGGUGGAAUUCCACGUGUAGCGGUGAAAUGCGUAGAGAUGUGGAGGAACACCAAUGGCGAAGGCAGCCUUCUGGGCCAACACUGACGCUCAUGCACGAAAGCGUGGGGAGCAA